rnacentral:lncRNA from 1 species
UAGCUAUAGCUAACAGAGCUAGCUAGCUGCUCCUGUGUGCUCUGUAAUCUCCAUCUUUUGUUUUCAUUUUAGUAUCUGCUGAUUCACUUCUUUGUGUACUAUGCUGUCCUCAUACUAGGCUGUUUGUUACUUGGAUACUAAUUCUUUGUGUCAGAGCCCUUAUGGUUAUUUCAAACAGUCUCUAAUGUGAAUGUUCAAAGUCCACUUAAAAAUAGAGUAUUCUUAUAAGGAUUUGCCAUCUCCAAUGUUCUGCAAAGUGCCUACUGCUAAUAGUUAGCAUGACAGGUUGCUAAAUUAUGUUUCCACUAAUGUGCCAGGGCACAGUAGAUAAGAAAUUCUAAAGUAAGGUGCUCAAGCAGAGUGAGCUAAAAAAUCCAGAGAAACGGUUUCACAUCUCUUGUAACCAUCAGCCAAUUUCAGAGGAUAAAAUAUUUGGAGAGUGGCUAUGGAAGGAAAAUAUUUAAGAGAUUUAUCUGGUGUAGAGCUGUUGGACUUAGCAAAUAAAAAUACAGGAUGUCCAGUUGAAACCUCCUUUGCAAAAAAUAUGAGAGCAAGAGAAGUCUAGCAUGUCUGACUCAAUUUUGCUUCUAGCCUCAUAGUCUGGCUGUCCUCGCUCAUUCCUGGUUGUAGGCUAAGCUAAGUACAGGAGAAAUUUAGUUUAUAGUUUAACUUUGAAGCAAGGAUGAUAAUAUCCCGCCCUAAAACUGACCCCUUCCUUGUUCUAAGAAUGAAACUGCCUUUGUAAAACCACAAGAUUAGGAUUAUGGGAGAGGCCUGAAUUGUGCUAAGAUAUAGGCAAGGUUAAAUGAUUACCAGCCACUGUUUCCUAGCUUGCUUUUCUAUAACCCCCACUUCUCAGGAGUUAUGUGGCCUGAGGUCACAAGAUUUGUGUCUUUGCCAAUUGCUCCUACAGAUAACACCACUUAUCUAUAUGAGGUUCUACCAUCUUAGGUAGAACUUAAGAUUAGUCUUUUGAGAUGUUUUUCAGACUUCUGCAUUCAGGCAACUGACUGACUCCACUUGGGCCUGUGACUCAUGAGUCAACUGGUCCUGUGGGCCCCACCCAGAGGCUGACUUGGGACAUGAGGACUAUUUUUCACAUUCCUAUGAUUUCAUCCCCAAAUGAUCAGCAGCACCCAUUCCCCAGCCCCCUGCCUACCACAUUAUCCAUAAAAACCCUAGCCUCUGAGUUCUAAGGGAGGCUAAUUUGAGUAAUAAAUAAAUCCACUUUCCUAACCCUGUGUUAAUUAAACACUUUCUCUACUGCAAUACUGCCAUGUUUCAGUAUAUUGAUUUUAUCCAUGCAUCAGGCAAGAAGAACCUGUUGGGUGAUUACACAGUUACAUUGAAUUUCAGAUUAUGGUACAGAAAGAAGUAUAUUUAGUGUUUGUCUCUGGUUCCUACCACAGAGUUCCUAAAAUUCUUGGAUUUUCUUGAGUGAUUGGAAUGUUUUUUGUUAUUCUAAAAAAGUCUCUUUUGAUCACAUUUUAGUUUGUCUAAAAAUGUAAUGGAGGUAGAGUCUCUAGCCUCAAGACGGGGCUGGUCACCAGGAAGAUAAAGUGAUUAGAAGGCUGAAACUUUGAAUCCCACCCCUGGACCUCCUGGAAGUUGGGGGGAGAAGGAUGAUUAAAUGCUAUAAAAACUUUUGAGUUGCUGAGUUUUGGGGUUGGUGAACACAUCCAGAUGCUCUGAGGAUUGCAAACCCGGAAAGUAUGGAAGCUCUGUGCACCUCCCAGCUCGCCCAGUACCUUGCCCCAUGCCUCUCUUUCAUUUCGCUGUUCCUGAGAUGUAUCCUUUAUAAUAAGCUAGUAAAAGUAAGUAUUAAAUUAAGCUUAGCCUAAAGCUGCCUCCUUGCAAAUUUUAAGUUUGGCCCAAAGGUUUCUCCAUAUGUCAUGAACUGUAACCUAACUGAUAUGUAAACAUUCUGUAACCUACUCCUGUGACAAUCACUGAGCUUCAGCUAAUCAAGAGUGGGUGACUGUUCAAACUAGGCUCAAAUAAAGCAUAUACCAAGCUGUAACCAAUCUAGCUGUUUCUGUAACUCACUUUUGUUUUCUGUAUGUCACUUUCUUUUUUCUGUCCAUAAAUCCUCUCCUAUCAUGCAACAGCAGCAGAGUCUCUCUGAACCUAUUCUUGGUCAAAGGCUGCUUGAUUUGCAGAUUUUUCUUUUCUCAGUUAAACAUUGUGAAAUUUAAUUUGUCUAAGGUUUCUCUUUUAACAUAAGUCAACUGUUUUCCUGAGUUCUUUCUUGCAAAUUAUUGAACCUGAGGAGGUGGCAAUAGGAACCUCUAAUUUAUAGUCAUUCAGUCAGAAGUACAGAAAACCUGGGACUUGCGGCUGGUUUCUGAAGUGGGGGCAGCCUUGUGGUCCUGAGACCUUAUGCUGUCGUUAUAGGAGUUAAAAAGAAAUUAUUUAGGCAGCUAGUGAGGGUAAGGAAAGUCCUUGGUAAGGUUUUCCUUUUAAUGAAAAGCAGCCCCCAAAUUAUUUCCUUUUCUAAUAAAGGGCAGCCUGUAAAAUUGAGCUGCAGACCGAUAAGCAAGCUGGGAGCUUGCACUGGUGAAUGCGGCCGUUGUGCCAAUGGGAAAAGGCUACCUGGGAGUAGGCAUGUUCAAAAUGGUGGCUCCAUCUUCCCUUCUCUUUGCCAAGCCACGUGUACAGUAAGGCGCAGACGAGAUGGCACCGGCCAAGUGGAAAGCCCAUUUGGAUAAUAAGAUCAGGAUGGGUUGGUCACCCUUCUCCCAGUGCUAUUUAAAUGUCACACCUGAUCCAACCAAUCUGUGGGCCCUAUGUAAAUCAGACACCACCUCUUC